GUCAAGAUCUAGAGUCAUACAACUACCUGAAAAUGUUAAUACUUAUUGUUAUGCGAUAAAAUGUGCAGAAUAAUAAAUAUUUGCUAACUAUUGUAAAAUUAAAUCACAAUUAUAAGAAUUAUUAUAUUAAUAUUUUCUAAGUCAGACGCUUGUGCCACUUUAAAGAUGCGGUACAGUCCAAUCUGAGCAUGUGCACAAAGGAGCCCUCUUUUUAUUAUACAAACAGUUUAUUUAGGUUUUUAUUUCAUUUUAUGGUCUUGCAAAGCUUAGUUGUUGUGUCUAAUGAUAAUUUAUUAUACUCUAGAAUCAUGAAAAUAUAAAGAGUUGCCGAAUAAAAUUCAAUAUUUUGGAUACCGACAUGCAAACAAAGCCUUUAUUUACAUGUGGACUGUGCCGCAUCUUUAAUAUAAAGGUAGGUCCAUAUGACAGAUUGACAUUCCCACAAUCCAAAUUCACUGGGAUUUUAAUUCAUUCUCGACUGUUCUGCAGGUGUUAGGAAAUUUCUAUUUGGCACAAAUGUUUUGUUCAAAUCCACCAGUAAUUGAUGUGUGCAUUUAAUGAAUUAAUAGACACCAUCCAAAUAAGCACGGCCGUAGCUAGCCACGAUAAUUGCAUGUGUGUGUGACUGUGUGUGUAUUGAAAAUUUGAAUUUCAUAUAUUCAUGUUCACAUACCGUCAUAAACAAUCGCUUUCACAAGAAAUCUGUCAGGCAGAACAUGCAUGAAUAUAUGAAUAUGC
rnacentral:lncRNA from 1 species